rnacentral:tRNA from 1 species
GGCGAGAUAGCUCAGUAGGUAGAGCAGCGGACUGAAAAUCCGCGUGUCCCCGGUUCAAUUCCGGGUCUCGCCACCA